CGGAUGAAGGCCUUCGGGUUGUAAAGCUCUGUGGGGAGGGAAGAAUAAGGGCAGGCGAAUACCCUGUUUGAUGACGGUACCUCCUAGCAAGCACCGGCUAACUCUGUGCCAGCAGCCGCGGUAAGACAGAGGGUGCAAACGUUGUUCGGAUUUACUGGGCGUAAAGCGCGUGUAGGCGGCUUGGCAAGUCGGAUGUGAAAGCCCACGGCUCAACCGUGGAAGCACAUCCGAAACUGCUUCGCUUGAGUCUCGGAGAGGAAGGUGGAAUGCUUGGUGUAGAGGUGAAAUUCGUAGAUAUCAAGCAGAACACCUGCGGCGAAGGCGGCCUUCUGGACGAUGACUGACGCUGAGACGCGAAAGCGUGGGGAGCAAACAGGAUUAGAUACCCUGGUAGUCCACGCCGUAAACGAUGAGUGCUAGGUGUCACGGGCUUUGACCCUCGUGGUGCCGUAGCUAACGCAAUAAGCACUCCGCCUGGGGAGUACGGCCGCAAGGCUA
rnacentral:rRNA from 1 species